GACGAAGGGGGCUAGCGUUGUUCGGAAUUACUGGGCGUAAAGCGCGCGUAGGCGGCUUUUGUAAGUUAGAGGUGAAAGCCCAGGGCUCAACCCCUGGAAUUGCCUUUUAAGACUGCAUCGCUUGAACAUCGGAGAGGUAAGUGGAAUUCCGAGUGUAGAGGUGAAAUUCGUAGAUAUUCGGAGGAACACCAGUGGCGAAGGCGGCUCACUGGCGUCGACACUGACGCUGAGGUGCGAAAGCGUGGGGAGCAAACAGG
rnacentral:rRNA from 1 species